CGAACGGGUGAGUAACACGUGGGCAAUCUGCCCUUCACUCUGGGACAAGCCCUGGAAACGGGGUCUAAUACCGGAUAUGAGCCUGGGAGGCAUCUCCCGGGUUGUAAAGCUCCGGCGGUGAAGGAUGAGCCCGCGGCCUAUCAGCUUGUUGGUGAGGUAAUGGCUCACCAAGGCGACGACGGGUAGCCGGCCUGAGAGGGCGACCGGCCACACUGGGACUGAGACACGGCCCAGACUCCUACGGGAGGCAGCAGUGGGGAAUAUUGCACAAUGGGCGAAAGCCUGAUGCAGCGACGCCGCGUGAGGGAUGACGGCCUUCGGGUUGUAAACCUCUUUCAGCAGGGAAGAAGCGAGAGUGACGGUACCUGCAGAAGAAGCGCCGGCUAACUACGUGCCAGCAGCCGCGGUAAUACGUAGGGCGCAAGCGUUGUCCGGAAUUAUUGGGCGUAAAGAGCUCGUAGGCGGCUUGUCACGUCGAUUGUGAAAGCCCGAGGCUUAACCUCGGGUCUGCAGUCGAUACGGGCUAGCUAGAGUGUGGUAGGGGAGAUCGGAAUUCCUGGUGUAGCGGUGAAAUGCGCAGAUAUCAGGAGGAACACCGGUGGCGAAGGCGGAUCUCUGGGCCAUUACUGACGCUGAGGAGCGAAAGCGUGGGGAGCGAACAGGAUUAGAUACCCUGGUAGUCCACGCCGUAAACGGUGGGAACUAGGUGUUGGCGACAUUCCACGUCGUCGGUGCCGCAGCUAACGCAU
rnacentral:rRNA from 1 species